rnacentral:rRNA from 1 species
UACGUAGGUGGCGAGCGUUGUCCGGAUUUACUGGGCGGAAAGGAUGCGUAGGCGGCUAUUUAAGUGAGCUGUGAAAUACCCGAGCUUAACUUGGGUGCUGCAUUUCAAACUGGAUAUCUAGAGUGUGGGAGAGGAGAAUGGAAUUCCUAGUGUAGCGGUGAAAUGCGUAGAGAUUAGGAAGAACACCAGUGGCGAAGGCGAUUCUCUGGACCAUAACUGACGCUGAGGCAUGAAAGCGUGGGUAGCAAACAGG